AUGGCGCGGUUCAACGGAGCCACUGUUCUCCUCAUCAUCAGCGCCACCGUGUCCGUCUACACCUGCGCCAUCAUCGCCGGCGCCGCACUCGGCCGAACACUGGACAGCACCGCGACGACUAAGCAGACGCCGUCGGACAGGACCCUCCGCGUCAGCGUCAGCUUCAGAGGCCUCGCCGAGGACUUCGCAAAGGAGCUCUGGGGUGGUAAUCACAGGGAAGGACGAUCAGGCAGAGGUCUCGCCGGUGCUGGUGACGGAACUGCGGUACUGUCAUCAUCCCCCGCGAGCGUCUCGCUCUCACCACGAGCCAACAGGGCGGCCGCGGCGGAUCGCGAGUCAGCGCUGCAGCCCAUGCCAGUUGCCAACUACACGCAAGUGAACAGCAGGGCCAGGGAUGACGUCCACACAAGAGCAGCAGCGAGACCGUGGUCGAGGCGCAGCAACUUCUCCGACGAGAUCACUGACGAGAAAAGGCCGGGAGGAAGAGGAGUGAUCAAGGUCGGGCCGUGGGGAGGAUCCGGCGGGGCACCUUUCUACAUGCGCGGCGGCCGCGGCGUGAGCGCCCCUCGCGUGCGCAGUGUCACCCUGCAGUACACCGACGACGCCAUCCAUUCCUUCUCUCAAAGCUCAGACGAGGCCAUGGUGAAGCAGACGCUCCAACGAGCAGAAGGUGGUGGCCAAGGUAGAGCUCGUCUAACGCCCUACGAACAGAUCAACUUUGCAUCGGAUGAGCAGCUCAUCGCAGUCGAGGGGACUUAUGGGCAUUGCAGCUAUGUUCGGGCAGUGGUUGUCACCUCGCUGACGUUCCGUACAGACAAGGGGAGAACAUACGGGCCGUAUGGCAAAGAGACCGGCACUCCCUUCUCCAUCCCGGCCGCGAAUGGAUGCAUCGUAGGCUUCUGGGGACGUUCCGGCUGGCUCCUUGACGCCAUCGGUGUUUACAUCAGGCCGUGCCAAGCUCUCAUGGCAGCUUAA
rnacentral:rRNA from 1 species